AGCGGCGGACGGGUGAGUAACACGUGGGCAACCUGCCUGUAAGACUGGGAUAACUUCGGGAAACCGGAGCUAAUACCGGAUAACACAUCGGAUCGCAUGAUCCGAGGUUGAAAGAUGGCUUAUCGCUAUCACUUACAGAUGGGCCCGCGGCGCAUUAGCUAGUUGGUGAGGUAACGGCUCACCAAGGCGACGAUGCGUAGCCGACCUGAGAGGGUGAUCGGCCACACUGGGACUGAGACACGGCCCAGACUCCUACGGGAGGCAGCAGUAGGGAAUCUUCCGCAAUGGACGAAAGUCUGACGGAGCAACGCCGCGUGAGUGAGGAAGGCCUUCGGGUCGUAAAACUCUGUUGUUAGGGAAGAACAAGUACCGUUCGAAUAGGUCGGUACCUUGACGGUACCUAACCAGAAAGCCACGGCUAACUACGUGCCAGCAGCCGCGGUAAUACGUAGGUGGCAAGCGUUGUCCGGAAUUAUUGGGCGUAAAGCGCGCGCAGGCGGUUCCUUAAGUCUGAUGUGAAAGCCCACGGCUCAACCGUGGAGGGUCAUUGGAAACUGGGGAACUUGAGUGCAGAAGAGGGGAGCGGAAUUCCACGUGUAGCGGUGAAAUGCGUAGAGAUGUGGAGGAACACCAGUGGCGAAGGCGGCUCUCUGGUCUGUAACUGACGCUGAGGCGCGAAAGCGUGGGGAGCGAACAGGAU
rnacentral:rRNA from 1 species